AAAAGAAAGAAUAAUAAAAAUAAAAAGUUGUAAAAGAAAAAGGAAAAGGUCCAAAAAAGAGUGAACAAUCGGCUAUUGUCUUUCUCAAUAAGGAAAUUAAUGAAAUAAAAUACAAUAUGGGAAAUAAAAUACAAUAUGGGUAGUCAUCACAAAUAAAGUUGAACCCUUUUUCUACUUAUUACUAUUUUUAAAAUACGGCUAAAGCACUUUGACGUGCAACAAUUUUUUUAUGGCAACUUUCUCUUUUCUUAUUAUUUUUUAAUACUUGUUCAUUCUCUAAUCAGGUUUUAUUUUCUUGAUUCUAAAACUUAAGAUUUCUCUUCAAAAUUAUAACUUUUUAAUUAAUAGAUUUGUUCCUAAAUUAAAUAAAUCAUUCUAUUAACUAUAUUUUAAUUUUGAAAAUUUUCAAAAUGUUAUUGAAUUUACACCAAGUCAAUUCAAAAUAAUAACAAAACUUGUAAUUACGAAAUAUUGCUUGUACAGAGUCUUUUUCUAAAUAUUUCUCGGUAUAAAUGUAUUAAAUACAUCAACAAUAAAACCACUUAAUGUUCUUUUACAAUACUAUUCUAAGUUUCUCUAUAUAAAUGUAGAGUAGAUGUUAUAUUAAUUAGUGUUACGUGAUAAUCUACCACUUAAUGUGUUAUAUAUAUAGCAUAUUAAGAAAUUUAUCACAUCGAAAAUCAACAAUAAAACUCCCCUAAAACAACAACAACAAGGACAUUUAAACUUAGAUACAAUUUUAUAUAAAUAUAUCAUCCGUGUUCACAAAAACAUAGAGACAUGAUAA